rnacentral:rRNA from 1 species
AGUGGUGACUAUAGCGAUAGGGAAUACACCUCUUCCCAUUCCGAACAGAGAAGUGAAGACUAUUUGCGCCGAUGGUACUACAUUUAGUGGAAGAGUAGGUAAUCGCCAAAG